GCUCAACCGUAAACCUUUACUUACACUUAAACCGCCAGGGAACUACGAGCUAAGCUUAAAACCCAAAGGACUUGACGGUACCCCACAUCCCCCUAGAGGAGCCUGUCCUACAAUCGAUAACCCACGUUUAACCUCACCACUUCUAGUUAAUCAGCCUGUAUACCUCCGUCGUCAGCUUACCCUGUGAGCGCAAAUUAGUGAGCCCAAUGCUUAUUUAUCAGUACGUCAGGUCAAGGUGCAGCACAUGAAAUGGGAAGAGAUGGGCUACACUUUCUACCCUAGAAAAAACGAAAAACUACCUAUGAAAUCAAGUUAGAAGGCGGAUUUAGCAGUAAAAAAAAGUCAAAACAUUAUUUUUAACCUGGCACUGGAGUGCGU
rnacentral:rRNA from 1 species